AAAGUCUGACCGAGCAGCGCCGCGUGAGUGAAGAAGGUUUUCGGAUCGUAAAGCUCUGUUGUAAGUCAAGAACGUGUGUGAGAGUGGAAAGUUCACACAGUGACGGUAGCUUACCAGAAAGGGACGGCUAACUACGUGCCAGCAGCCGCGGUAAUACGUAGGUCCCGAGCGUUGUCCGGAUUUAUUGGGCGUAAAGGGAGCGCAGGCGGUCAGGAAAGUCUGGAGUAAAAGGCUAUGGCUCAACCAUAGUGUGCUCUGGAAACUGUCUGACUUGAGUGCAGAAGGGGAGAGUGGAAUUCCAUGUGUAGCGGUGAAAUGCGUAGAUAUAUGGAGGAACACCAGUGGCGAAAGCGGCUCUCUGGUCUGUCACUGACGCUGAGGCUCGAAAGCGUGGGUAGCGAACAGGAUUAGAUACCCUGGUAGUCCACGCCGUAAACGAUGAGUGCUAGGUGUUAGGCCCUUUCCGGGGCUUAGUGCCGGAGCUAACGCAAUAAGCACUCCGCCUGGGGAGUACGACCGCAAGGUUGAAACUCAAAGGAAUUGACGGGGGCCCGCACAAGCGGUGGAGCAUGUGGUUUAAUUCGAAGCAACGCGAAGAACCUUACCAGGUCUUGACAUCCCGAUGCUAUUCUUAGAGGUAGGAAGUUACUUCGGUACAUCGGAGACAGGUGGUGCAUGG
rnacentral:rRNA from 1 species